UCAAUCUCGUGCGGCUAUAUAUACCGCCGGUCCCUCUAAGAAGAUUUUCAUUGUACGCCGGUAGUGAAGACCGCGAGACGCGCGCCGAACGAACGCGUUAACGCCGCCCGGACGCGCGCACGCGGGCCCUCGUGAUACCGGUUGCACGUCUAUUUAGUAGGCUAGAGUUACGUUCGUUAC
rnacentral:rRNA from 1 species